rnacentral:misc_RNA from 1 species
GAUGAAGAACGCAGCGAAAUGCGAUAAGUAAUGUGAAUUGCAGAAUUCAGUGAAUCAUCGAAUCUUUGAACGCACAUUGCGCCCGCCAGCACUCUGGCGGGCAUGCCUGUUCGAGCGUCAUUUCAACCAUCAAGCCCCCAGGGGCUCGUGCUGGGGCCCUGCGGCUGCCCGCAGGCCCUGAAAACCAGUGGCGGGCUCGCUAGUCACACCGAGCGCAGUAGCACAUCUCGCUCAGGGCGUGCGGCGGGCUCCUGCCGUGAAACCCCCCACUGUAACCCCAAAGGUUGACCUCGGAUCAGGUAGGAAUACCCGCUGAACUUAAGCAUAUCAAUAAGCGGAGGA